AGAGUUUGAUCAUGGCUCAGGACGAACGCUGACGGUGUGCUUUAGACAUGCGAGUCGAACGAGAAAGCCCUUCGGGGUGAGUAUAGUGGCGAACGGGUGAGUAACACGUGGGUAACCUGCCCCUCGCAGGGGGACAACCGGGGGAAACCCCGGCUAAUACCCCGUACGCUUGCCGGGUCGCAUGGCCUGGUAAGGAAAGGUAGCUUCGGCCAUCCGGCGAGGGAUGGGCCCGCGGUGCAUUAGCUAGUUGGUGGGGUAACGGCUCACCAAGGCGACGAUGCAUAGCUGGUCUGAGAGGAUGAUCAGCCACACUGGGACUGAGACACGGCCCAGACUCCUACGGGAGGCAGCAGUCGGGAAUCUUGCGCAAUGGGCGAAAGCCUGACGCAGCAACACCGUGUGGGCGACGAAGGCCUUCGGGUCGUAAAGCCCUGUUGUUGGGGACGAAGGGCAAAGGGUUAAUAGCCCUUAGCCUGACGGUACCCUUCGAGGAAGCCCCGGCUAACUACGUGCCGGCAGCCGCGGUAAUACGUAGGGGGCGAGCGUUGUCCGGAAUUAUUGGGCGUAAAGAGCGUGUAGGCGGUUUGGUAAGUCUGCCGUGAAAACCCGGGGCUCAACCCUGGGCGUGCGGUGGAUACUGCCAGGCUAGAGGGUGGUAGAGGCGAGUGGAAUUCCCGGUGUAGCGGUGAAAUGCGCAGAUAUCGGGAGGAACACCAGUAGCGAAGGCGGCUCGCUGGGCCAUUCCUGACGCUGAGACGCGAAAGCUAGGGGAGCGAACAGGAUUAGAUACCCCCGUAGUCC
rnacentral:rRNA from 1 species